rnacentral:rRNA from 1 species
AUUGAACGCUGGCGGCAGGCUUAACACAUGCAAGUCGAACGAGUGGCGGACGGGCGAGUAAUGCUUGGGAAUCUAGCUCAUGGAGGGGGAUAACUACGGGAAACUGUAGCUAAUACCGCGUACCAUAGGAUGAGCCCAAGUGGGCUUAGGUAGUUGGUGAGGGAAAGGGUCACCAAGCCGACGAUCGCUAGCUGGUCUGAGAGGAUGACCAGCCACACUGGGACUGAGGCACGGCCCAGACUCCGACGGGAGGCAGCAGUGGGGAAUAUUGCGCAAUGGGGGCAACCUGACGCAGCCAUGCCGCGUGAAAGAAGAAGGCCUUCGGGUUGUAAAGUUCUUUCGGUAGCGAGGCGUUAGCUACAGAAGAAGCACCGGCUAACUCCGUGCCAGCAGCCGCGGUAAUAC